GAAGAAUCUCAGGGCAUGUAUGUGGAAUAACAAGGGAAGACCAAAACCUGAUCUCUAGAGACAUCAACAUUUCAUAAUGAGCAGAGCAAUAGGGAUCCACCAAGACAUUUUAAGCAGAGGGCUGUUAUGAUUAAUUUUACAUCUUGGACCGAUCACCCUGGCAACAGAGAGAGGCUGUUGCAUUCAUUCAAGUGAUGACUGGAACUGGGGCAACCAUCUUGGACCUUGAAAGGACCAUGACCUUCAGAAUAGAGGUCAAACAUAGCAGAGAAACAAGACAGAAGGAGUCUCUGGGUCCUGGAGAGCUGCUUGGAGCAGAGCAGCCCUAUCAACCUGGAGCACCUACCUGGAGCACCUACCUUUCAUGACCUUGUUAAUCAUCAGAUUGGAAGACAUUUGCAAUGUAGAUUUCAUCACGCCAAAUAGUUAAUGCCUUGCCAAGCUGCACCCUUCCCAGGAGUGUAAAUGAGGAGGGAGGAGACUCCAGAAAGACUGACUCUGUUUACCUCACAUGGGGACAUGCAGCCUUGAAAACACUGACUCAUCUGCUCCUGGGGCUUCCUGAUUUGUAAGAGGUUGCAGCAGGAAGAGGAGGAAAGACAGCAUCAGGGUAAACAUGGAAAAUACCUGCGGCUCAGAUUCAGGAGACGACUUCGGCGGACUCCACCUUCUCCCCAGAGCCUGUGCUGCUUCUUUGCGGUAAAUAUCUCAGUUAUAACAAAUUAAUGUUUCCUACACGUAUUUGUUCAACACGUCUCCUCUACCAGAGCCCUAGUUCCACCAAACUCAAGAACCAACCCUGCCUUCUUCACCCUGGGACCCGAAGCACAGAGGUGCUCAAUAAAAUACAGGUUGAGA